UACGGGGGGGGCAAGCGUUGUUCGGAAUUAUUGGGCGUAAAGGGCUCGUAGGCGGUUUGUCGCGUCGGGAGUGAAAUCCACUGGCUUAACUGGUGGCUUGCUUUCGAUACGGGCAGACUGGAGGUAUGCAGGGGAGAACGGAAUCCUGGUGUAGCGGUGAAAUGCGCAGAUAUCAGGAGGAACACCGGUGGCGAAGGCGGUCUCUGGGCAUGUCCUGACGCUGAGGAGCGAAAGUG
rnacentral:rRNA from 1 species